rnacentral:snRNA from 1 species
GCACUCAGAAUGAGUAGGAGG